AACCCAGACCCCAAAGGACAUGCAUCGUAUGUACUCACUGGAGGCUGACCUGAUGGACAAGUCAGGGAGCCCCCCGGUCUUACGGAAGUCAAGAGGUCCCAUCACCAGUUGCUGAGGACAUGAAGAAAGUGGCAUAUGUGUUUCUAGUAGCUUGUUCACAGGGGAGGUUCAAGUCUGUAGCUGGGGUGACUGACUUAUUACAGAGCUGUGCUCAGUGAUCUUGGAUUCCAUGAAAGGUGUGACUUGUUAAAGGCAAUCAGUGAGGAUUGUAAGAGAAGACUACUGGGACCAUGCCAUCCAAGGUGAGAGAGCUAAGCCGGACACAUCGCUUUUAUAUUAUUUAAAGUGGAAAAAAUAGAGAAGGAUUUUAAAAUGGUAGUUGUAGUAUUUCUGACAUGGGCCUGUGAAAAUCAAAGAGAUGCACUCACCCUU